rnacentral:rRNA from 1 species
ACGGAAGGCAGCAGUGAGGAAUAUUGGUCAAUGGACGGAAGUCUGAACCAGCCAAGUCGCGUGCGGGAGGAAGGCCCUACGGGUCGUAAACCGCUUUUGUACGGGGAUAAAGUCACCCACGUGUGGGUGUUUGUAGGUACCGUAAGAAUAAGGAUCGGCUAACUCCGUGCCAGCAGCCGCGGUAAUACGGAGGAUCCGAGCGUUAUCCGGAUUUAUUGGGUUUAAAGGGUGCGCAGGCGGCCCUGUAAGUCAGCGGUUAAAUCGUGGAGCUCAACUCCAUCCCGCCGUUGAUACUGCAGGGCUUGAUUGCGGUCGAGGUUGGCGGAAUUCGCCGUGUAGCGGUGAAAUGCAUAGAUAUGGCGAAGAACUCCGAUUGCGUAGGCAGCUGACCAGGCCGUAAAUGACGCUCAUGCACGAAAGUGCGGGGAUCGAACAGGAUUAGAUACCCUGGUA